AGCGAACGCUGGCGGCAGGCCUAACACAUGCAAGUCGAACGGACCCUUCGGGGUUAGUGGCGGACGGGUGAGUAACACGUGGGGACGUGCCUUUAGGUUCGGAAUAGCUCCUGGAAACGGGUGGUAAUGCCGAAUGUGCCCUUCGGGGGAAAGAUUUAUCGCCUUUAGAGCGGCCCGCGUCUGAUUUGCUAGUUGGUGAGGUAACGGCUCACCAAGGCGACGAUCAGUAGCUGGUCUGAGAGGAUGACCAGCCACACUGGGACUGAGACACGGCCCAGACUCCUACGGGAGGCAGCAGUGGGGAAUCUUGCGCAAUGGGCGAAAGCCUGACGCAGCCAUGCCGCGUGAAUGAUGAAGGUCUUAGGAUUGUAAAAUUCUUUCACCGGGGACGAUAAUGACGGUACCCGGAGAAGAAGCCCCGGCUAACUUCGUGCCAGCCGCCGCCGUAA
rnacentral:rRNA from 1 species